rnacentral:rRNA from 1 species
AAUGUAACAUCCUAAAUAUACCUGAUCUCAUCUGAUUCUGGAAGCUCAAGUAGGGCUGGGCUUUGUUAGUACUUGGAUGGGAGAAAAUGAAAUGACAAAUUCCAAUU